GGGCGGCGCAGCGCGCAGGCGCCGUGCAGCGCCCCCCGCCCCGCGCCCUCGUCGCCUCUGAUUGGCUGCGGCCGCCUCUUAAAAGGCGCGGCCAAUGGCUGCGAGCGGCCAGAGGCCGAGGAGCAGGCGAGCCGGCGGCCGCCGCUCGGCUUCUCCGCGCGGGUGGGAAUGGCUGACCGGGCCGGGCGAGCGAGCGAGCGAGCGGCGGGGAGGCGCCGGGUGGAUCGCGGCGACGGCGGCGGCGGGGCUCGCCCUUUGUCUGCGCCGUUCCAAAUGGCUGCGGCCAGGGCGGGCGGCGCUCCCGAGGCCCGGGCGGUCGGCGCGGCGCGGCGCGGAGCAGGGUGCUGGCACGAAGGCGCCUUCGCCGUGUGGAGGACGCCGCGGACGCGAUGGCCGGCUCCUCUGACUGACGGCCGUGGGUACGAGCCAAAAGGUUGGACGUUUCCAGAGGAUUUCUUCUUUCCAUUUUUUUGAAACAAAUUCCAGGUGGCAAAGCUCCUUAUUCGGAACCUCGCUGUAGGUGACACCCUCCCCUCUGUCACCCCCACCCACCCCACCCCCGGGGUCAUCUUCACUUCUGAGGAGACUUGCCACAGUCAGCACCGAUCCAGCCCUGUGGGUUGAGAGUUUGCCGUGGUAAAUGAUUUUUUUUUUCUUCUUUCCUGCCUUAAAAGAGUCUUCCGGAAGCUUGUGUGGUCAUACACACCUGUAAUACCAGCACUUGGAAGACGAAGGCAGGAGGGCAAAGAAUUCAACGUUUGUUAGAUAACCUCCAGAAAUGCACAAACACAUAGAGAAAGCUGGAUGGUAGCUGGAGGCCUCAACCUGGUUCCCUCUUUCUGGGUGACUACCGAGCCAACCUGGCCUUGGCUGUGCAAACGCAGAGGGAUACACCCUCAAAUAUGCCAAGGAACUGUGUCCUGAUCACAAACAGCUGUGUGGACACAGGUGCGUGUUUCUCUCCAUGUAUGUCUGUCUGAACAACAGAUAUCCUGUGGUUCUCAAGACAGAAGGCUGGAAUUCGGUGUGGGUAGAGUUGUAAUCCUGGGGCCUAGAGAAGACAGGCCUCCCUUGCUGCCUCCAGCUACUGUUGGCUCCGAGGCAUCCUUGCCUUGUGGUGGUGUCAGUCAUCUCUGGCCUCACCUGGCUAUGGCCUCUCUAUUGUGUUUUGAGACGGUAUCUUGUGUUGCCUGUGCCUGGUACUUUGUGUAGCCUUGUACCUGGGCUCCUUGGAUCACAUCAGCCUGUCACAUAGCUGGCACCUCUCAUCUUAGAGUGACACCAGGCCCAAGAUUUGGACCUACCUAAAUCCAAGAUGACUUGGAAAGGUCUUUAACCCAUUACAUCUGCAAAAGUUUCUCCUCCAAUAAGUUCAUUUGCGUUCUGGGUAGAUGUGAACUGGGGGAAGGGCCGUUAUUUAACCCCCUACACCAGUGUCCCCAUGUAAGGAGAGAAACCCUUGAAAAACCCAGAGGCACUUGUUGGCCUGGACAGAAACCUGAGGCAGCUAGAAUAGGACACAGCAGUGUGUGGCUUGAAGCAUCUGAAACAGAGUCCUCUCCCUGGCCUGAAUUCCCUCCUCAAGACUCCUUUGCUUGGGACCCAGUUUGGGUAACCACCGGCCCUGGGGACCAAGGCAGAGGAGGAGCUGAAGGCAGAGGAGGAGCUGAAGUUAGAAGCUAGUCCGUGGCCUGGGUCUCACUCUCGGUAAGGGCAGAGAGCCAAGUGCUGGACCCUGAAGUGUCUGGGCACCGGCUGCACUGUUCUCGUGCUGAGGUUAACUGUCCUUCCGUCCAUAUGUCAUACACAGAUGGACAUCAUGGGUCUGAUGCCUGGUCCUGCCCUCUCCCUUUGAAACUGACCCAGGUCUCCAGAGCCAGCUGUCUGCAGAAGUCUAGCAUGACUCAGGGACAGCAGUGACUCCCACAAAGGACUAACUAUAGCUGUGUGACCGGGUUUACAGUUCAGCUCAGAGGAGCUUACUCAGACUGCGUGAGGGAGCCCAGCCUGGCAGCAUGCCUGCAACAGCCUCCCCCAGAGUCUCCACCUCCCCUGAGUGCCACAGCAUUAGCCUUACACCCUUCCCCACCCCCCCAGGGAAAAGAGUGUGGUGCUCAACUCCCUCAGGCUGCUCCUCGGGGUUUCUCGUAUGCGUCAGUUCUUGAAACAACUCGCCCCGCAUUCAGCUCACAUGUCCAGUUUAUAAAAUCAAACCUCAAUUUGGAACAGGGCACAGUAGUACAUACAUGUAAUCCCAGCACUGCAGAGGUGAGGGCAGAGUUGUCCAAGGCCAGCCUCAGCUACAUAGUAAUUUUGAAAGCAGCUGUGUAAAACUGUGUCUACCCCACCCCUGCCCCCCCUCCAAAAAAUGACAACCAAACCUCAACUCGGGUCCCUGAAAACUUAGUCCGUGAAAACAUAUUGAGUAAGCACUUGUUAACGGCUUAGUGGCCUACAUGGCAAUAUUGGGAAGUGCCAAGAACUAGUGAGAUGGUUAGAUCACUGGGGAUGCACCCUGAAAAGAGGCUGGCACUUGCCUCCUGUGACAAGAGCCUGCAUGAGGAAAAUCCUGUUGUGGCUCAUGGUUGUCAGGGGGAUGUGGUCCAGCACGGGAGAAAAUAUGGCAGAGCAGAGCAGCCCGUGGCUCGCAGCAGCAGGAGCCUCAGCCUGCUUGUGCACAUCUGGGAGCAUCAGAAACCCACCAGACAGCAAGCUGGGCCUGGCUGCAACUCUUCACAGCCCAUCCUAAAGCAUCCAUCUUCAUCCAGCUGGAUACCACACCCUAAAGGUGCCACAGUCUCCCAAACAGCACCACCAGCCAGGGACCAGGUAUUCAAAUGGUUGACCACUUAGAAUGAGAAGUGCAAGCCAGGAAGUGGUGGCCCACACCUUUAAUCCCAGCACUGGGAUUAAAGCAGAGGCCUGUGGAUCUCUGUUGAGUUCAAGGACAGCCUGGUCUACACAGAGAAACCUGUCUUGAAGAGAAAAAACAAAAAAAGUAAAAUGCUUCCACUACAUGGGCUACAUAAGACUAUUUCAAAAACAAAACAACACUUUAAAAAUAUCUUGUGUCUGUGUGUAUAUGUCAUACGUGAGGAGCAUGUGUGGCAGCAAGAAGCCGUGAAGUCAGUUCUCUUCUUCCAAGGACUGAACUGAAUUCACUUCCCCACGCUUGCAUGGAAAGCACCUUUACCCACUAAGCCCUUUCACGGGGGUUGACACAGAAGAUGUUGAAUUUGAAGCUAGCCUGGACUGUUACAAAAAUUAAGUAACACCAUUUAUAAGAGUAACAAAGGGAGCCGGGCGUUGGUGGCGCAAGCCUUUAAUCCCAGCACUGGGGAGGCAGAGGCAGAAGGAUCUCUGUGAAUUCGAGACCAGCCUGGUUUUCAAGAGCUAGUUCCAGGAUAGGCUCCAAAGCUACACAGAGAAACCCUGCCUCCAAAAAAAAGAGUAACAAAGGGGCUGGAGAGAUGGCUCAUAGAUUAAGAGCACUGACUGCUCUUCCAGAGGACCUGAGUUCAAUUCUUAGCAACCACAUGGCAGCUUACACCUGUCUGUAACACCUUCACACAGACAUAACCUGCAGGCAAAAAUGCCAAUGAACAUAAUUUUUAAAAAAUUUAUGGAAAAAAAGUAAAAAAACUAGAGCCUUGGGGCUGGAGAGAUGCCCAAUGGUUAAGAGCACUGGCUGCUCUUGCAAAGAACAUAGGUUCAAUUUCCAUCACCCGCAUGGCAUCACACAACUGCCUAGAACUCCUGAUCCAAGGGGCCCAGCAUGCUUCCGGCCUCUGUGGGCCCCAGACAUGUACGUGGUACAUAGAUAAAAUGAAAACAAACACCUCAACACGAAACUAAUGAGAACACAAGACCUAUAAUCAGAAAGUUGUAAACGAAGAAGAGCUGGGGCGAUGCCUCAGUGAAUAAAAGGUGCUACUUUGCAAGUUUGAGGGCUAGAAUCCAGAGCCCAGGUAAAAGUCAGGCAGGUGUGGCAACCACCUGUAAUCCCAGCACUCAGAAGGCUAACUAGAUUGGAAUGGUUGAGCACUGGGUUCAUCAAGACACCCUGCCUCAGUGAGGAAACUGGGAGCAGUAGAGGAAAACAUGAGACAUGAACUUUAGGACCUGCACACACGUGCAAACAUUUACACUGCACACAGUAGAUACCUAGAGGAACAUACCAAACUAAAAGAAUGGCAAGUCUUGGCAUUUAAAAAUACUAUUUCUCCUCAGUAUCAGCCACAGACUCGGUGAAAAAUUAAGUUUAAACCCCCAAUUUUUUUUUUUAAAUCAUUGGUCACAGAAGUUGACAAGCUGGCCUGUGUUUCUCAUAUGGCAAAAUUAACUCUUCCUUGGGUCACACCUCAAACUCUGGGCGACAUGAUAUAACAACGUUUGCCUGGCUGACCCCAGAGCAUGAUCUCAUGACCUCAGAUGCAGGUUUUGGUAAAGGAACAACAAAGGAAGAGGGAACAGUGCCAGGUGAGUUGCUAAGGUCAUACCAUGGUCUAGGCCAUGUAGGCAGGAAAAAAAAAAAAAAACUGAAGGCCUGAAGUCUUCCUGGCCCAAAGACCUGGAUGUCAGAGCUGGGUGUCAUUACCCUCUGGAAGGUACAGGCAUCCUAGAAAAGAAAAGGUUUGAGAGGGGAGAUAAGAAUCAGGAAUAUUGCCUCCAUCUCCAGUUGAACUCAGAGCCAGGUCCUGGGCAGAUUCCAACCAGCACAGCUAAGAAUAAGACAGCUGAAAGUGGACGUGAACAGCUGACCAAGUGACAGAUGGGCAGUUAGGUCUCAGUCCCCAAGUCAGCCAU
ensembl:lncRNA